GCUAUUUAAUUAAACAAAUUUAUAAAUAAAAAAUCCUCAAUCAUAAGCUAUUAUUGGGAAUCCAAAUCACAAAUGUGCCAUGAGUUUCCAUAGAUUCCGACGUAGCCUCCGAUUCACCACGAACAAACCUCAAUCACAAAUCAACCAUCACCAAAAAUUUGUCCUAGCAGCCGUAGUCACUGUUAAAACUUGAAGGUCAAAGUAUUUUGCCGAAAAAAGUAGUUAUUCAAUAGCCGAUUUUGAAAGGAGGAAGAGGAAAAUUUUGAAUCUGAUUAUUCCUUGCUCCUUUACGCGGACAAUGAUGGUGAUACAGAUCUGGAAGUUUAAGAAGGUGAUACGGACCUGGAGGCUGAAGAAGAUGAAGAGUUCGUCUCUUUCGCACCCUAAUUUCAUCCAUCUGUUCUUUCUCCCUAUUAAAAAAAUUUCAUACCCAAACCCAAACGAAGCUCUAGUUCGUUGCAGAGUUUACAAUUAAGUCAAUGAUUGAUAAAUUUUUUGAUUUCUAGGUUUAUUAUUUGGAGGUAUUAAAUCUUUUUCUAUGUAUAAAUUGUUGGUAGGAUGGUAGUUUAAUGGGUAUUAAUAAAUAGGGUAACAUACAUUUUUUCUCAUGUUAAUUUCUUCUUUAGUUCCUGAUCCAUGGUUGUGUUCUUUGAGUGACAGGGGUUUGUGUUCUUUGAAUAACAGAGGUUCAUGAUUGAUUUGCUUUUUUUAUUUAUUGAUUUCUGAGUUAUUGUUUAUCUAUAAAAUCAAUUGUGGUUUAUUUUGGUCAAGCUUGAUCUGCUUGUGCUUGUGUUGGGUUUAGGCUUGAUUUUGUUUUCCAUUUCAGCUUGAUUCGGUGUUGCUGCUAUUUUAUUUGUUUUAAACUGUUUGGAUUCCUUCUUGUUACAAUAUUUUCACAGCUCUUUUCUGGGUUGUGGGAUAUUUUGGCUGUUGUUAUGGAUUUUUCGCGGGUUGUUAAGCAUGACAAAAUAUGAUUAUGGGUUGGUUUUGGUUUUUAAAAUAUGGUUAUGGUUCUAUUUAAGAAUUAAAACUAUAUUAACCAUUUUUAAUAUGAGUUGUGUGGGUUGGAACUAU
rnacentral:lncRNA from 1 species